rnacentral:rRNA from 1 species
UGGGGAAUAUUUCACAAUGGGCGCAAGCCUGAUGCAGCAACGCCGCGUGAACGAUGAAGGUCUUCGGAUCGUAAAGUUCUGUUGCAGGGGAAGAUAAUGACGGUACCCUGUGAGGAAGCCCCGGCUAACUACGUGCCAGCAGCCGCGGUAAUACGUAGGGGGCUAGCGUUAUCCGGAUUUACUGGGUGUAAAGGGUGCGUAGGUGGUCCUUCAAGUCGGUGGUUAAAGGCUACGGCUCAACCGUAGUAAGCCGCCGAAACUGGAGGACUUGAGUGCAGGAGAGGAAAGUGGAAUUCCCAGUGUAGCGGUGAAAUGCGUAGAUAUUGGGAGGAACACCAGUAGCGAAGGCGGCUUUCUGGACUGCAACUGACACUGAGGCACGAAAGCGGGGGUAGCAAACAGG